CGCAAGGCAGUCAGACGUCGAGCGUCGCGACGCGUCGACGUUUUUCAUCUCAGUCGUCGAGUGGUGGUUGUUCGGUUUUCGAAAAAUUCAAAGGUCUCUCGUUGCGCGCCAUUGAAUCGGUAAAAAACAAAAAAAAAAAAACAAGGAAACUCCAGUGCCGUUUUUUUCUAACUCAAAAAAUCUGAAAAUGAAAUCAAAAGUUGAUUUGUAAAAAAUUUUGGAAAUUUAAAAAUCAAAGAAAUUAUUUAGAAAAAAAAAACUAUGAGGCUGAUGAAUUCUAAUUAUCCUUGUCGAAAGUGAAGGAGGUGGUUUUGUGGAAUUUUUCGCGGUCAAAGUAAUCCGAAUUUCCGCACAGCGUAGGAAAAGACUCGCGGUGUAACGCGGAAGAGGUGGACCGCACUUUCGUAAAUUGCGAUAAAAAGGGAGAGAGAGAAGAGAGAGAGGGGCGAAAAAUAGAGGAGCAGUAAAUAACCACGAGGAGCCAAAAGCUGAAGAAAAAUGGGGAAGAAGAACAGUAAACUCAAACAGGACACCAUCGACCGGCUCACCACGGACACAUACUUUACGGAAAAGGAGAUCAGGCAGUGGCACAAGGGAUUUCUGAAGGAUUGUCCCAACGGCCUCCUCACGGAGCAGGGGUUCAUAAAAAUCUACAAACAAUUCUUUCCGCAAGGUGACCCAUCGAAAUUUGCCUCUCUAGUUUUCAGGGUCUUCGACGAGAACAGCGAUGGGACGAUCGAGUUCGAGGAAUUCAUAAGAGCGCUAUCGGUGACGUCUAGAGGAAACCUCGACGAAAAGUUACACUGGGCAUUCCGUCUGUACGACGUAGAUAAUGACGGUUUCAUCACGAGGGACGAGAUGUACAAUAUCGUUGACGCGAUAUAUCAGAUGGUGGGACAGCAGCCCCAGGCUGAGGAUGAAAACACGCCGCAGAAAAGAGUGGACAAAAUAUUCGACCAGAUGGAUAAAAAUCACGACGACAAAUUGACGCUCGAAGAAUUCAGGGAAGGCAGCAAAGCGGACCCGAGAAUCGUGCAGGCGUUGUCGCUGGGCGGAGAAUCCCUCGGCCCUUAGAUGCCGAGGUGUUGGAAAAUUUAGAACAAAAAAAGUAAAAGAAAAACCCGUCGAUACAUCCCGAAACCGCCCUCCCAAAUAUUCUCAGGUAUUUUUAAUACACGGUACCCGAAAGGAUUUUCUUUUAAUUUUUUUUCUCAAAGCGGCGAACAUCGCCCUUGAAGAUGCGAAAUUUUUCAAAACUAAGGGCGGUUUUCGCAAACCCGGAGUGAGACAAAAAAAAAAUCUGUGCGUUUCGUCAGCGUCUUGUGCCAAAUGUGGUGAUCGGUAGGAAACCCUUCGCUCGGAUAAAAUUUGACUUUUAUUUGACUCGUCUCGACCACGGUCGAAUACGAUUGGUUGAUUCUGGAGAAUUUGACCCUCGUGCACAGUUCGAAAAGUGGACUACUUAGGAUGAUCGAUAUCCGGAGGUACUGUUCGGAAUAUCAUCACCGGCACUCGCCGGAGGGAGAGGAGGAAAAAAAAAAGUAGUAACAAUAAUAAAAUGAGAAAAAAAGAAAAGUGGAACUUUUUGCUCUAGCGUAAUAAGGGUGGGUACGCUUCGGUCGAUCGUUGGAUCGUCGAGGCAGCGAUCGUCGAAGACCGGCACAGAUGGAGCAGCGGCGGGGUAAAAAUAUGGAAGAUACGACGGAAGUGAGGGGUGAAAGAAAAUUUUAAAUCAGAAGCAGAAACGUUCACACGGCCAAGAAUCGAAGCCUCAAAAAGCCUCGUGGAUAUACGACCUUGGCUCGGAGCCUAGGGGUCGAGAGCUGAUCUCGGUCACAGCCACGGGAGACAACUCACUCAACAAGGGCCGAAUUUCAACCCGUGCGUCACAAGCGCAAUCGUUCGUCGACGUCGCAUGUAAUUCGAACCCGUUGAGCGGAAGGGCUUAAUGAAUGAACAGAACAAACGAACGAAAGAACGACGAUUCGAAUGGAACCUGAAUUAGAAUAUAUCGGUAAUGUAAAAAAAUUAGUUAUUUAAUUUUUUCAUCCAAUUUAUUCAACUAUUUCGCUCAUCCACUUCCUUCCCUCGCAUUCUUCCGCUUCCUUGUUUUAUUUCUCUGCGGAUAUAAAUUUAAAAAUACUCUACGUAUACCGUCGGGGUGGUGCGAGACCUUGACACAAUCUAUAACUGUAUCCAGAAGAGUAGAAAUUCAGAGUAAAAAAAAAAAAGAGCGAGUGAGAGAAUGGAAAAAUGGAAUAAAAAAAGGUCUAGCUCGCGCCGGGCGACAGCUUCGGGUGCUUUCAAAUGCAAAUAAAAAGUUACGUAGUGGCGAUCAAGAAUUUUACGACUCCCCUUUUCUUCUUCUUUGUUUUUUAAAAAAACAUCCCUUAUCUCAACCCCUCUCUCUCUGUACCGCCACGGUUCUUAUUGUCUCCUUCUUUUUUCAACCUUACACCGACUUUUUUCACCGCUGUUCCGAACCCGAUAGAAAUCCACCCCGGCCGGCAGCUUACGCUUAUCUACGACUCAAAACGUGAGCUGACGCCCCACAAAAAAGUGAAAAAAUUGGAAGAAAAAAUGAUGAAAGAUUGCAGAAAAGUACAGUAUCGAAAUGUCUGUUCUCGAGCAAUUUCAUUUUAUUUUGUUCCAUAUAUUUUUUUUUUCUUUCCGCCUAGUUUUUUUUUUUUCCACUUUGAAAGUGAUUUUUGCUCGAGUUGUAUCUCGAUCCGUGUAUAGCUUCUUCGCGAUUGGCCCUCCUUCUGCACAGAGUAAGUUUGCUCAGGGCCCUCGGGAUCUCAGGGAUCAACAGAGAUAGUAGUUCACUCGGUGAGCUUUUUCUUCCGUUUUUUUUUUUUCUCUUCUCUUCCCCGUUUUUCUAUUUUCUCUCGAUUUUCACCCCUUUUGUACCGGCGGAACUCGCGUGGAGAGUAUAAGACGUGGUUUUUUCCCGGUGCUUUUAUUCGUUUUUUUUUCUUUUUCUUUUUCGAACCGCGUCGUUGCGUCAACGCGAAAAAUCAAUCGUCUGAGUUCUAAAUUCCUCUGCUAGGAAAGUUCAUCCCAUAAAUUACUCGAUGCUGAAAAUAAAAACCGCCACCCCAACCCCCACCACCCUAUAUUACCAUCACCACCGCCGAUGCGAGCUUUGGGAAUAAAUCGGUUUCCAUUUUUCCAAUACCCGACGCCAAGAAAUACAUUCGAUACCUCCCUGUACACUUAUAAGGUAGGUAUCAUAAUACCUACAGGCAAAAUUCUUACCUAUAGUCGAAUUGAACUCGUAAAAAUGUCGCUCGUUAUUUUCUAUACGGCUCGUAGUCUCCCUAUACAUUUCUGACGAUAUCGUGAAUUGUUAGUUUUAUUCCUUACAAAUUUGGAGGUCGCAGUUUUGAGUAAAAUCUGAGAGGCGAGAGAAUUUUUAUUUUUUCAACUUCAAUCAUCGUCUGUUAGGCACAAAGGUAUAAUAGAAUUAUUAGAAAUUCGUGACGUCGAUUACUAACGAUAAAUAAGGGUUUACAAAAUAUUACUAACACGAUGCACUUUCGUAAUAGGAAUGAAUAAAGAUUGUAAUGCAAUUAUCUAUGAAAAAAAACAUCCGAUUUAUUAUUAACUGUAUAUUGUAUUUCAAUCGAAGGAAUAUGAGAAAAAAAAAAUAGCAAAACGAAAGAAGAAAUUAUGAUUGACGUUAUUACUAUGGUUUUAUAAACUUUCUGUGAUAAUUAUUAACAAUCAAUAUUACAAUGAAAAUAAUUAAAAAAAAAAAAAAAUGAGAAAAACAAAUUAAUAAAAAAAAAUUAAUAAAAUGAUUAAAAAAAAGAAUAAGGUGAAAUGAAAUAUUAAUGCAAUAAUAAACAAGUAAUAUUUAACAAAUACUAAAAAAAAAAAGGAUUAUAAUAAAAUGAGUAUUAAGAAGAAUAUGAAAAGAAAAAGUUGCCGUGUCUUGCUAGAAUAUUAAUAAUGAUAAUUAUUAUUAUAGUUUGUAUUAAUUAUUAAAGCUGAUGUGUUGAAUGUUAUUACGCCUUAUGAUAUACACCUUUGUUGAGAUUGUCCGGUUUUCAUAACAAAAAACGCCAAAAGAAACAAAAAAAAAAAAAGAUAAAGUAACAUCGUCAAAAAGAAAUCAAACCAAAUCGAAUCAAAAAAACCAAAAGAAUUGAAAUUGUUAUCGUAUGAUUAAUUAUUACGCAAACACACACAUGUAAUAUAUAAUUGUUAUUUUUUAAGAUCUCGUCACUGUUUUGUAAACGAUAUAUACCUAAUAACCGAGAUACAUAACAGUUACAACCCCAUCUA